UACAGAGGGUGCGAGCGUUGUUCGGAAUUAUUGGGCGUAAAGGGCGCGUAGGCGGUGCGGCAAGUCACCUGUGAAACCUCUGGGCUUAACCCAGAGCCUGCAGGCGAAACUGCCGUGCUGGAGUGUGGGAGAGGUGCGUGGAAUUCCCGGUGUAGCGGUGAAAUGCGUAGAUAUCUGGAGGAACACCGGUGGCGAAGGCGGCAUCCUGGACCGACACUGACGCUGAAAAGCGAAAGCCAGGGGAGCAAACGGG
rnacentral:rRNA from 1 species